rnacentral:lncRNA from 1 species
AGAUGCUCCGGAACCUGCAGCUCUGUUUUGAUUCCAGAUAUUCCUGCUGAAGCUAUUUGUGUGCACCGUAAAUGAAACACGAAACCGAGGAACAGCGGCUCUGCCACCAACAGCAAAGCACACACACAGAGUAAAACUGGGUUAGCAGUGGCCUAGAAGAGGGACAGUUAAAGCCUGUACUGUGUGCAGAGCACAAGGCUGGCUGCUGGCCGAGAGACCCGGAGAUAACCCUAACCCCAG